GAUGAACGCUCGCGAUAGGCUUAACACAUGCAAGUCGAGGGGCAGCAUGGUCUUAGCUUGCUAAGACUGAUGGCGACCGGCGCACGGGUGCGUAACGCGUAUGCAACUUGCCUCACAGAGGGGGAUAACCCGUCGAAAGACGGACUAAUACCGCGUACACUUGGGAUAGGGCAUCCUGACCCAAGGAAAUGAAAUUCGCUGUGAGAUAGGCAUGCGUCCCAUUAGCUAGUUGGUGAGGUAACGGCUCACCAAGGCGACGAUGGGUAGGGGAACUGAGAGGUUGAACCCCCACACUGGUACUGAGACACGGACCAGACUCCUACGGGAGGCAGCAGUAAGGAAUAUUGGUCAAUGGGCGAGAGCCUGAACCAGCCAAGUCGCGUGAAGGAUGACUGUCUUAUGGAUUGUAAACUUCUUUUAGACGGGAAUAACAAGAGCCACGUGUGGCUCCCUGCAUGUACCGUAUGAAUAAGCAUCGGCUAACUCCGUG
rnacentral:rRNA from 1 species